AUUGAACGCUGGCGGCAGGCCUAACACAUGCAAGUCGAGCGAGCGGCGGACGGGUGAGUAAUGUCUGGGAAACUGCCUGAUGGAGGGGGAUAACUACGGGAAACGGUAGCUAAUACCGCAAACCAUCAGAUAUGCCCAGAUGGGAUUAGCUAGUAGGUGGGGUAACGGCUCACCUAGGCGACAAGCCCUAGCUGGUCUGAGCGGAUGACCAGCACCCCUUGAAUUGAGACCUGGUCCAGACUCCUACGGGAGGCAGCAGUGGGGAAUCUUGACCAAUGGGCGCAAGCCUGAUGCAGCCAUGCCGCGUGUAUGAAGAAGGCCUUCGGGUUGUAAAGUACUUUCAGCGUGGAGGCGUUACCCGCAGAAGAAGCACCGGCUAACUCCGUGCCAGCAGCCGCGGUAAUU
rnacentral:rRNA from 1 species